GAUGAACGCUGGCGGCGUGCCUAAUACAUGCAAGUCGAGCGAACGGACGAGAAGCUUGCUUCUCUGAUGUUAGCGGCGGACGGGUGAGUAACACGUGGAUAACCUACCUAUAAGACUGGGAUAACUUCGGGAAACCGGAGCUAAUACCGGAUAAUAUUUUGAACCGCAUGGUUCAAAAGUGAAAGACGGUCUUGCUGUCACUUAUAGAUGGAUCCGCGCUGCAUUAGCUAGUUGGUAAGGUAACGGCUUACCAAGGCAACGAUGCAUAGCCGACCUGAGAGGGUGAUCGGCCACACUGGAACUGAGACACGGUCCAGACUCCUACGGGAGGCAGCAGUAGGGAAUCUUCCGCAAUGGGCGAAAGCCUGACGGAGCAACGCCGCGUGAGUGAUGAAGGUCUUCGGAUCGUAAAACUCUGUUAUUAGGGAAGAACAUAUGUGUAAGUAACUGUGCACAUCUUGACGGUACCUAAUCAGAAAGCCACGGCUAACUACGUGCCAGCAGCCGCGGUAAUACGUAGGUGGCAAGCGUUAUCCGGAAUUAUUGGGCGUAAAGCGCGCGUAGGCGGUUUUUUAAGUCUGACGUGAAAGCCCACGGCUCAACCGUGGAGGGUCAUUGGAAACUGGAAAACUUGAGUGCAGAAGAGGAAAGUGGAAUUCCAUGUGUAGCGGUGAAAUGCGCAGAGAUAUGGAGGAACACCAGUGGCGAAGGCGACUUUCUGGUCUGUAACUGACGCUGAUGUGCGAAAGCGUGGGGAUCAAACAGGAUUAGAUACCCUGGUAGUCCACGCCGUAAACGAUGAGUGCUAAGUGUUAGGGGGUUUCCGCCCCUUAGUGCUGCAGCUAACGCAUUAAGCACUCCGCCUGGGGAGUACGACCGCAAGGUUGAAACUCAAAGGAAUUGACGGGGACCCGCACAAGCGGUGGAGCAUGUGGUUUAAUUCGAAGCAACGCGAAGAACCUUACCAAAUCUUGACAUCCUUUGACAACUCUAGAGAUAGAGUUUUCCCCUUCGGGGGACAAAGUGACAGGUGGUGCAUGGUUGUCGUCAGCUCGUGUCGUGAGAUGUUGGGUUAAGUCCCGCAACGAGCGCAACCCUUAAGCUUAGUUGCCAUCAUUAAGUUGGGCACUCUAAGUUGACUGCCGGUGACAAACCGGAGGAAGGUGGGGAUGACGUCAAAUCAUCAUGCCCCUUAUGAUUUGGGCUACACACGUGCUACAAUGGACAAUACAAAGGGCAGCGAAACCGCGAGGUCAAGCAAAUCCCAUAAAGUUGUUCUCAGUUCGGAUUGUAGUCUGCAACUCGACUACAUGAAGCUGGAAUCGCUAGUAAUCGUAGAUCAGCAUGCUACGGUGAAUACGUUCCCGGGUCU
rnacentral:rRNA from 1 species